rnacentral:rRNA from 1 species
GAUGAACGCGGCGGCGUGCUUAACACAUGCAAGUCGAACGAGAGAUACAGGAGGAAGUUUUCGGACGGAAUCCGGUAGAUCGAGUGGCGGACGGGUGAGUAACGCGUGGGGAACCUGCCUCAUACAGGGGGAUAACAGUUGGAAACGACUGUUAAUACCGCAUAAGACCACAGAGUCGCAUGACUCAGGGGUAAAAACUCCGGUGGUAUGAGAUGGACCCGCGUUCGAUUAGCCAGUUGGCGGGGUAACGGCCCACCAAAGCGACGAUCGAUAGCCGAUUUGAGAGAAUGACCGGCCACAUUGGGACUGAGACACGGCCCAAACUCCUACGGGAGGCAGCAGUGGGGAAUAUUGCACAAUGGGGGGAACCCUGAUGCAGCGACGCCGCGUGAGUGAAGAAGUAUUUCGGUAUGUAAAGCUCUAUCAGCAGGGAAGAAGAUGACGGACCUGAGUAAGAAGCCCCG